rnacentral:rRNA from 1 species
CUGCCCUUGGGUCCGGCAUAACCCCGGGAAACUGGGGAUAAUUCCGGAUAACGCACAUAUGCUGGAAUGCUUUAUGCGUCAAAUGGAUUCGUCUGCCCAAGGAUGGGUCUGCGGCCUAUCAGGUAGUAGUGGGUGUAAUGUACCUACUAGCCGACGACGGGUACGGGUUGUGAGAGCAAGAGCCCGGAGAUGGAUUCUGAGACAUGAAUCCAGGCCCUACGGGGCGCAGCAGGCGCGAAAACUUUACAAUGCGGGAAACCGUGAUAAGGGGACACCGAGUGCCAGCAUCAUAUGCUGGCUGUCCGGGUGUGUAAAAUACACCUGUUAGCAAGGGCCGGGCAAGACCGGUGCCAGCCGCCGCGGUAACACCGGCGGCCCGAGUGGUGAUCGUGAUUAUUGGGUCUAAAGGGUCCGUAGCCGGUUUGGUCAGUCCUCCGGGAAAUCUGACGGCUUAACCGUUAGGCUUUCGGAGGAUACUGCCAGGCUUGGAACCGGGAGAGGUAAGAGGUACUACAGGGGUAGGAGUGAAAUCUUGUAAUCCCUGUGGGACCAC